CUGGAGGUAGCUCAGUGGUAAAGUGCAUGUUUUAUAUGCAGGAUGUCCUGGGUUCAAUCUCCUGCUUUUCGC